CCUCAGGGGCGCAGUGCGGACCACAUGGCAGGGGAGAGUGGCCCUCAGUCCUGAGCGCCUCCAUGUGCCAGGAUAGCCCACCACGUCCUACAGACACAAGCCUCAAGCAGACCAAACUGCCGAUGACCCACCCAGGCCGACUCCUUUUCCGCGGCCGGUUCGCAGACGCUUGGUGACUUGGAAAAUGGAGAAUAAGUUCCCACCUUCACUGAGACGGACAGAGAACGGAUAUGGAAGGGGGGGCGAUGGAAAGCCGGGCGGGGGUUUUUGUGUACAAAUACUUGGGGGAAAAGGCAGUCUACCCCGCCCACAUGAAGAGCUGUAAUUACUCCUUACAGAACAGAAUUCUUUUGUUGUCCGGC